ensembl:snoRNA
AUUCCACUUUAGUCAUUAAUCAUUGUAUGACCUUCUUUACUGGUCAUUCAAGUGAGGCAAAGGGAAUAUCUUUUUAAAACUCAAGCAAACUGGGUGUUUGCCUUGUAUUCUGUCAGAAGAAACAAAU